CGCUAAUUUUAUUUGAUCCCGUCUCUAAAUAUCACAUUUCAAAAGAAUUUGAUGUAUCACUUAAACCGAGAACUUUCGAACAGAAUAGACCUUUUUGUUCCAGCUACAACGCUUGCAUGUGACAGUCAAAAGCUAUUAGUUAAACCGUAGGUUAAAUUUUAAUUUCUGACAGAUAUUUCUUUAGAAAAUUGGAAAAGGGCGUGACGGGGGAUUAGUUUGAACUGAUAGUAUGUCAUUAGCCAUGUUAAUAUGACACGGGGAAGAUAGUUGUGUCACAAUACAAGUAAAGGCUCUGGUCUG
rnacentral:lncRNA from 1 species